rnacentral:rRNA from 1 species
AGAGUUUGAUCCUGGCUCAGGACGAACGCUGGCGGCGUGCUUAACACAUGCAAGUCGAACGAAGCUUGAUGAUUGAUUUCUUCGGAAAGAAAUUUGAUAUGACUGAGUGGCGGACGGGUGAGUAACGCGUGAGCAACCUGCCCUUCAGAGGGGGAUAGCGUCUGGAAACGGACGGUAAUACCGCAUAACGUACAAAGGCCGCAUGACCAUUGUACCAAAACUGAGGUGCUGAAGGAUGGGCUCGCGUUGGAUUAGAUAGUUGGUGGGGUAACGGCCUACCAAGUCGACGAUCCAUAGCCGGACUGAGAGGUUGAACGGCCACAUUGGGACUGAGACACGGCCCAGACUCCUACGGGAGGCAGCAGUGGGGAAUAUUGCACAAUGGGGGAAACCCUGAUGCAGCAACGCCGCGUGAAGGAAGACGGUUUUCGGAUUGUAAACUUCUGUUCUUAGUGAAGAUAGUGACGGUAGCUAAGGAGCAAGCCACGGCUAACUACGUGCCAGCAGCCGCGGUAAUACGUAGGUGGCAAGCGUUGUCCGGAAUUACUGGGUGUAAAGGGAGCGCAGGCGGGGAGCCAAGUCAGCUGUGAAAACUACAGGCUUAACUUGUAGACUGCAGUUGAAACUGGUUUUCUUGAGUGAAGUAGAGGUUGGCGGAAUUCCGAGUGUAGCGGUGAAAUGCGUAGAUAUUCGGAGGAACACCGGUGGCGAAGGCGGCCAACUGGGCUUUAACUGACGCUGAGGCUCGAAAGUGUGGGGAGCAAACAGGAUUAGAUACCCUGGUAGUCCACACUGUAAACG